rnacentral:rRNA from 1 species
UACGUAGGUGGCAAGCGUUGUCCGGAUUUAUUGGGCGUAAAGAGCUCGUAGGUGGUUCGGUAAGUCGGGUGUUAAACCCCCAGGCUCAACCUGGGGACGCCACUCGAUACUGCUGUGACUUGAGUCCGGUAGGGGAGCGUGGAAUUCCUGGUGUAGCGGUGAAAUGCGCAGAUAUCAGGAGGAACACCAGCGGCGAAGGCGGCGCUCUGGGCCGGUACUGACACUGAGGAGCGAAAGCGUGGGUAGCAAACAGG